rnacentral:rRNA from 1 species
CGGCGAGUGAAGCGGGAAGAGCUCAAAUUUGAAAGCUGGCACCUUCGGUGUCCGCGUUGUAAUCUCGAGAAGUGUUUUCCGUGCUGGACCAUGUACAAGUUCCUUGGAAUAGGACGUCAUAGAGGGUGAAAAUCCCGUACUUGACAUGGACGCCCAGUGCUUUGUGAUACACUCUCCACGAGUCGAGUUGUUUGGGAAUGCAGCUCAAAAUGGGUGGUAAAUUCCAUCUAAAGCUAAAUAUUGGGGAGAGACCGAUAGCGAACAAGUACCGUGAGGGAAAGAUGAAAAGCACUUUGGAAAGAGAGUUAAACAGUACGUGAAAUUGUCGAAAGGGAAGCGCUUGAAGUUAGACAUGCUUGCCGGGAUUCAGCCUUGCUUUUGCUUGGUGCAUUUCCCGGUGUGCAGGCCAGCAUCAGUUUUGUUUGCCGGAUAAGGGUGAGAGGAACGUGGCCCCUCGGGGUGUUAUAGCCUCUCACUGGAUACGGCGGAUGGGACUGAGGACCGCAGUGUGCCUUUAUGGCGGGCCUUCGGGCACCUUCACACUUAGGAUGCUGGCGUAAUGGCUUUAAGCGACCCGUCU